rnacentral:rRNA from 1 species
GAUGAACGCUGACAGAAUGCUUAACACAUGCAAGUCAACUUGAAUUUGGGUUUUUAACUUAGGUUUGGGUGGCGGACGGGUGAGUAACGCGUAAAGAACUUGCCUCACAGCUAGGGACAACAUUUGGAAACGAAUGCUAAUACCUAAUAUUAUGAUAAUAGGGCAUCCUAUAAUUAUGAAAGCUAUAAGCGCUGUGAGAGAGCUUUGCGUCCCAUUAGCUAGUUGGAGAGGUAACGGCUCACCAAGGCGAUGAUGGGUAGCCGGCCUGAGAGGGUGAUCGGCCACAAGGGGACUGAGACACGGCCCUUACUCCCACGGGAGGCAGCAGUGGGGAAUAUUGGACAAUGGACCGAGAGUCUGAUCCAGCAAUUCUGUGUGCACGAUGAAGUUUUUCGGAAUGUAAAGUGCUUUCAGUUGGGAAGAAACAAAUGACGGUACCAACAGAAGAAGUGACGGCUAAAUACGUG